AAAGUUCAUGUUGGACUCAUAAUAUCCACAAUUUUCGAAUUUUUCGAUUUAGAUGAUUAAUGCUUUGAUUGUUCCCUACUAAUAUGUGCAUCUGCAAUCCCUUAGUUAUCUAUUUAUUCAAUCUCUUGCGUUUGCUGACAUUUUCCACAGCAUACUUUUGACGAUUCAAUCCCCUGAUAGAUAAAUCGAUCGAUCGAUCAUUGCAAUUGGAAGGCAGAAGAGGAACGAAUCACCCCCGAUUUCAGAUAUGUAUUUCCUGAGUAUCGUUGCGUCGGGAGCUCCUGUUCUUCUGUGCCACUUUGCUUGUUUAGUUUAAUUCGUGACGCGAGGCAGUGCAGCAAAUAAAUCACAACAACGGCACGGCGGUGAUAAAAAAUCGCUUUUCACGUGAGAGUAAAAGCUCCGGAUUCGAAUGCUGCGCUGCCGACGGCGACAGUGACGUUGAUGGUGCUGUUACAAUGCCGCUGGCGGCGCUGUUGGCGAUUUGAAUAUGUUAUGAUGUUGAUGUUGCAUGUUGGCCCGCGUCGCCAACUGGUUUUAUUUUUAUUCUCUAUUUCUAUUGCGUCUACUUCCGAGUUCAAUGCAAGCGACGUCGGCUGAGGCGGCAGCUGCGACAGCAGUAGAGACGUCGGCAGCGACGUUGCGCAACCGCCCACACGCGCUGCGCCUGCCGCUGCCGUUAGCUUUUCUAAAUGUGUAUGCGUGUGUUUUGGCGAGGCUGCGUCGUGCAAAUAUUUUGCCAGCAUUCGCUAUUCACACAUACAUGUAUGUUGGUGGCCCAGAGGCUGCGCCACCCCCUGAGGACAACACCCACCCACAAAAACACCACUGAACUGAACGGAACUGAACCGAACGAGCCACCCCCACCAAACGUGUCCCAUUGAAAGCUAGCCGGCACUCACUCACUGGCAAACAACACACAUGUUGCUUCGGUUUAGAUUUAGACGAGUUUUGAAUGCUGAAUAAAUGGCCCGAGUUGCAGAAGCAGCAGAUGAAAGCAGAAGGGGGUUGGGGAGGAGGACUUUUCAGCAGCAGCACCACCACCAUUAUACUGCUACUGCUGCAACAUCCACGGCAGCAACAUCGGCAGCCCCGCUACAACAAUAGCGAUCGUGUUGCAAAAACAGGUGUCCGCUUUGCAUAGUCUUGCCUUCCAGUUGAAUAUUUGGCAUUCAUAGUUGGGAAAAGACUGAAUAUGGUCAACUGGAAAGUUAUCAACAGGGCUCAGUUAUAGUCCUCAUCAGAUAAUGAUAUCAUUUGUAUUUAAAAGCCUUAAAAUGAUAAGAUGACAUAAGGUAGCAUUUGAAAGUUCAAAUUGUAUAUCAACUUAUUGAAGAUAAUUGCAAGAUAUUUGUUAUUAAGUCCCAAUAUUUUAAUAUUAAGCUAAAAACAUCCAGAGCCAUAACUCAAGCUAAAUUACUUAUGUAUAAAUAGCCUAAGGUAUUUUCCAGAUUUGGCAAUAUAUUGUGUACAAUAAGCUAAUUACUCUGAUUAAAAGGGUGUUAUUUAGAUAGCACAUCAACAUUUUUUCCUAUGGGGAAAUUAAUAAUAUAUAUUUUUUGUAUUUUAACCUUCCGUAACUGGCAACGCAAUGUUCCUGUAAUCUGAAUUUAAAGGGAAUUACAUGAUUUGUUUCCUAACCUGUAUCCUUACGAAGUUUAUUACCUAAUUACUGCUUGCAUCACUCAGAAUCGCACAUGGGGCAUAUGGGUACUGCGUGCUACUCAUUCCUUACUAUAAAGCAGAAUAAAAGCAAUCAGAAGAAGCGAGCGACGCUCAGUAAUCGAAUCAAUUCAACGCCAAUUAUACAAUCUGUCAACAGGAGCAGGAGAAAAAGAGGAGCAACCUGCAGCCACGAACUCCCCGAACCGACGACCCUGACCGAUAGCAUCGGGUGCAACCUGCUGAUAAGAAACCAUUCGAACAGGAAGCGGUCGCCGCCGUUGUGCAAGGAACAAUAAUCAACGGCAGCGCCAACACACAACUCAUCUUCACUGAAAGAAACGGAGAAACGCGAAAGUAUGCCAUUUGGUUAAAUACCGAAGGCUUCUUUAUUAAAUACUUAGGCAGGUGUAAGUUGGUGUUCUUUAAGUAACAUCAUCCAUACCUAGGCAGCAUUUCAGAUGCAUAGAUCCCAGAUAGAUUCCCGAUCAACGAAACUAAAAAAAUCCGCUUAAUGUUAUUGCUAUUUGCAAUUUCGAGUAGGUUUCAGGUGGCAAUUAAGAAGUAGCUUGUAAAAUAAUUUAAUCACUUUUUUAACUAUAAGAGAUCAGAUACUCUACAGUAUUUUUAUAUAAGUCCGGUCCUAAGCUGUAUAAAAGGAUUUUCUGAAGAAUAUCCAAUCAACACUAAAAAUAUAGAAGGGUACGUCUUUUCUCCCACAGUGUCCAGACAAAGAAUUGCAUUAAGUACAUAGACAACACGCUCCUUACCGAUUCUGCACUUGUUCGCUCUGCCGCGAACCUAUCGUCAUCGGUCUAUCCGAUCCGAUCCAUUCAUUUCCGCUUUAGGCCGGAGUUGGUUGUUGCUUCGGGGCAGCAACAAUAACAACAGCAACUCUGCCACAAAGGCGACCAUUCGGAACCGCCGAGCGAGAAACUAUUGCACCUGAUUGCCUUGAAAAGCGAGCAAGCCCAAAGUGGCAGCAAUAAACAAAAGCGAUCCGUUCGCGGCGAAUUCGACAUAUAGCUUUGCGGAUCGCUUCGCCGCAAAACAAAAGGAAAGAGAAUUCUCAUUCACUUCCUGCUCUCUUCCUCUUGCAAAAACUACGAAAAGUUAAAACCCAGCUGACGACGACGACGACAAGUUUUCAAACUGAAACGUACGAAACUCAAUUGUUGUUGCUGCUGCUGGCUGGAAAUUGCAGAGAAAUUCCUUUGGCUUAAUUAGCCUCUUUCGUUCGAGGCGAAAAUAUUUUCAAAUGAGAAACGUACAUACAGGCCGCCAAGAAAGCGGCACAACAACGACAACACAAGCAACAACAACAGCAGGAAUAGCAGAAAAAAGAGUGUGGAACGUCAGGCUAAAGCAAAAACAACUCUGAGCUCAGAGUACAAAUGAAACCAGUUUAGUUCAUUUCGUUUCGUUUCGUUCAUUAAUUCAAAAUUUCCAUUUGAAACUUUUUUCCCUCUUCUGUUGCUGCUUCUUUUUUCUCUGCUUUAUUUUGUGUGUGCGCUCUGCUCUUCUGUUGUUGUGCUGUCGUUGCUCAUCCCCGAUUCCCAACCGCCCGCUCCCCUCUUCAACAUCCAUUCCACCCGAUGCCACCCCACCAUUCACCCCGCAGCCCAACGUCAUCGUCAUAAUCAGAGUUUUAACAUUUUAUGUACAGUGAGCACAGGCGGCUCUCGUACUCACUGUAUUUAUACACUCCCCCACACACUGACGCCUCAUACAUAGCGUAAGAAAAAGAGAGAGAGGGCUGCAGAGCAAAGCUCGUUUUCGUUGCGACGACGAAGUUCGUUCGUUCGGUGUUUCGUUCGUUCUCUCCCACAAUCGCAAUGCUCCACCGCUCCACCGACCGCCAGCUAUAUACACAUAACCUACAAAAAUAUAUAGCCUGCGCUAUAUAUGCGCUGGCUGCUCGGCGAUAUUUGUGCGGCGCAUCGUGUGCGCUGUCAGAGGCAAAUGGCUUGAUGGCCGUACAGUCGAUGGCAUGGGGCCGUGGCGGGGGCGGACGUGGUGCAGGAACGGUGAGCGGGUAGCGGGACAUUGCAGGCUGGUUGGCAGACAGGCGGCAUAACAUCAGCAGAGGCAGCAGCAGCAGCAGCAGCUAAAGCAGCAACACAAGUGCACAGGGUUGCCAGGCGGUUGGCCAUACGAAACGGCAUUGAACCCUCGCAACGGGGUCCCAUAGAGCAUAUUGCGAGCAAUAUAACGAGUUCCUUGUAACCUUAGAUUAGCUAGGCUUAUAUUUUAAGUAAUACCAAUAAGUAAUAUGUUAAAAAACAAAUUGAAACUGCUAGGGCAGAUCUAAAAGGAUGCAUUUUAUGGUACUACAAAUUUAAGAUCAGAUUUUAUGUAGAUCUUUUUUCGAUCUCAACUUAUUUUCGAUCUCAACUUGCAUGCGUAUAAAAAAGGUCACAAAAUAAAAAAUAAAUAUUUAACUUA